GCGGGGUUAGCUCAGUUGGUUAGAGCGUGGUGCUAAUAACACCAAGUUCACAGGUUCAAUCCCUGCUCACUGCA
rnacentral:tRNA from 1 species